AGGAGAAGGUGUGACUGAGGGCGGGCUGUGGAUCUGAACUGCACUGUGGCCCUGUCCAGCAAAGCAAAUUACAGUUUCACUUGCUUUUGGAAUAUUUAAACUUACACCAACUGCAUGAGAAUAUGUUAGGAAACAGUGCCUGGAACUAGGAUUUUCAAUGGAGCUGGGCAGAGUUAAGAUAUUAUCAACAUAUCUCUGUUAGGGCAGAA